UCUACGGGAGGCUGCAGUGGGGAAUAUUGGACAAUGGGCGAAAGCCUGAUCCAGCCAUGCCGCGUGUGUGAAGAAGGCCUUCGGGUUGUAAAGCACUUUCAGUGGGGAAGAAAGCCUUGGGGCUAAUACCCUCGAGGAAGGACAUCACCCACAGAAGAAGCACCGGCUAACUCCGUGCCAGCAGCCGCGGUAAUACGGAGGGUGCGAGCGUUAAUCGGAAUUACUGGGCGGAAAGCGCGCGUAGGCGGUCUGAUAAGCCGGUUGUGAAAGCCCCGGGCUCAACCUGGGAACGGCAUCCGGAACUGUCAGGCUAGAGUGCAGGAGAGGAAGGUAGAAUUCCCGGUGUAGCGGUGAAAUGCGUAGAGAUCGGGAGGAAUACCAGUGGCGAAGGCGGCCUUCUGGACUGACACUGACGCUGAGGUGCGAAAGCGUGGGUAGCAAACAGGAUUAGAUACCCGUGUAGUC
rnacentral:rRNA from 1 species